rnacentral:rRNA from 1 species
UUAAGCGACUAAGCGUACACGGUGGAUGCCCUGGCAGUCAGAGGCGAUGAAGGACGUGCUAAUCUGCGAAAAGCGUCGGUAAGGUGAUAUGAACCGUUAUAACCGGCGAUGUCCGAAUGGGGAAACCCAGUGUGAUUCGUCACACUAUCAUUAACUGAAUCCAUAGGUUAAUGAGGCGAACCGGGGGAACUGAAACAUCUAAGUACCCCGAGGAAAAGAAAUCAACCGAGAUUCCCCCAGUAGCGGCGAGCGAACGGGGAGCAGCCCAGAGCCUGAAUCAGUGUGUGUGUUAGUGGAAGCGUCUGGAAAGGCGCGCGAUACAGGGUGACAGCCCCGUACACAAAAAUGCACAUACUGUGAGCUCGAUGAGUAGGGCGGGACACGUGGUAUCCUGUCUGAAUAUGGGGGGACCAUCCUCCAAGGCUAAAUACUCCUGACUGACCGAUAGUGAACCAGUACCGUGAGGGAAAGGCGAAAAGAACCCCGGCGAGGGGAGUGAAAAAGAACCUGAAACCGUGUACGUACAAGCAGUGGGAGCCCUGAUUUAUCAGGGUGACUGCGUACCUUUUGUAUAAUGGGUCAGCGACUUAUAUUCUGUAGCAAGGUUAACCGAAUAGGGGAGCCGGAGGGAAACCGAGUCUUAACUGGGCGUUAAGUUGCAGGGUAUAGACCCGAAACCCGGUGAUCUAGCCAUGGGCAGGUUGAAGGUUGGGUAACACUAACUGGAGGACCGAACCGACUAAUGUUGAAAAAUUAGCGGAUGACUUGUGGCUGGGGGUGAAAGGCCAAUCAAACCGGGAGAUAGCUGGUUCUCCCCGAAAGCUAUUUAGGUAGCGCCUCGUGAAUUCAUCUCCGGGGGUAGAGCACUGUUUCGGCAAGGGGGUCAUCCCGACUUACCAACCCGAUGCAAACUGCGAAUACCGGAGAAUGUUAUCACGGGAGACACACGGCGGGUGCUAACGUCCGUCGUGAAGAGGGAAACAACCCAGACCGCCAGCUAAGGUCCCAAAGUCAUGGUUAAGUGGGAAACGAUGUGGGAAGGCCCAGACAGCCAGGAUGUUGGCUUAGAAGCAGCCAUCAUUUAAAGAAAGCGUAAUAGCUCACUGGUCGAGUCGGCCUGCGCGGAAGAUGUAACGGGGCUAAACCAUGCACCGAAGCUGCGGCAGCGACACUAUGUGUUGUUGGGUAGGGGAGCGUUCUGUAAGCCUGUGAAGGUGUGCUGUGAGGCAUGCUGGAGGUAUCAGAAGUGCGAAUGCUGACAUAAGUAACGAUAAAGCGGGUGAAAAGCCCGCUCGCCGGAAGACCAAGGGUUCCUGUCCAACGUUAAUCGGGGCAGGGUGAGUCGACCCCUAAGGCGAGGCCGAAAGGCGUAGUCGAUGGGAAACAGGUUAAUAUUCCUGUACUUGGUGUUACUGCGAAGGGGGGACGGAGAAGGCUAUGUUGGCCGGGCGACGGUUGUCCCGGUUUAAGCGUGUAGGCUGGUUUUCCAGGCAAAUCCGGAAAAUCAAGGCUGAGGCGUGAUGACGAGGCACUACGGUGCUGAAGCAACAAAUGCCCUGCUUCCAGGAAAAGCCUCUAAGCAUCAGGUAACAUCAAAUCGUACCCCAAACCGACACAGGUGGUCAGGUAGAGAAUACCAAGGCGCUUGAGAGAACUCGGGUGAAGGAACUAGGCAAAAUGGUGCCGUAACUUCGGGAGAAGGCACGCUGAUAUGUAGGUGAAGUCCCUCGCGGAUGGAGCUGAAAUCAGUCGAAGAUACCAGCUGGCUGCAACUGUUUAUUAAAAACACAGCACUGUGCAAACACGAAAGUGGACGUAUACGGUGUGACGCCUGCCCGGUGCCGGAAGGUUAAUUGAUGGGGUCAGCGCAAGCGAAGCUCUUGAUCGAAGCCCCGGUAAACGGCGGCCGUAACUAUAACGGUCCUAAGGUAGCGAAAUUCCUUGUCGGGUAAGUUCCGACCUGCACGAAUGGCGUAAUGAUGGCCAGGCUGUCUCCACCCGAGACUCAGUGAAAUUGAACUCGCUGUGAAGAUGCAGUGUACCCGCGGCAAGACGGAAAGACCCCGUGAACCUUUACUAUAGCUUGACACUGAACACUGGUCCUUGAUGUGUAGGAUAGGUGGGAGGCUUUGAAGUGUGGACGCCAGUCUGCAUGGAGCCGUCCUUGAAAUACCACCCUUUAAUGGCUGGUGUUCUAACGUUGGCCCCUUACCGGGGUUGCGGACAGUGUCUGGUGGGUAGUUUGACUGGGGCGGUCUCCUCCUAAAGAGUAACGGAGGAGCACGAAGGUUGGCUAAUCCUGGUCGGACAUCAGGAGGUUAGUGCAAUGGCAUAAGCCAGCUUGACUGCGAGCGUGACGGCGCGAGCAGGUGCGAAAGCAGGUCAUAGUGAUCCGGUGGUUCUGAAUGGAAGGGCCAUCGCUCAACGGAUAAAAGGUACUCCGGGGAUAACAGGCUGAUACCGCCCAAGAGUUCAUAUCGACGGCGGUGUUUGGCACCUCGAUGUCGGCUCAUCACAUCCUGGGGCUGAAGUAGGUCCCAAGGGUAUGGCUGUUCGCCAUUUAAAGUGGUACGCGAGCUGGGUUUAGAACGUCGUGAGACAGUUCGGUCCCUAUCUGCCGUGGGCGCUGGAGAACUGAGGGGGGCUGCUCCUAGUACGAGAGGACCGGAGUGGACGCAUCACUGGUGUUCGGGUUGUCAUGCCAAUGGCACUGCCCGGUAGCUAAAUGCGGAAGAGAUAAGUGCUGAAAGCAUCUAAGCACGAAACUUGCCCCGAGAUGAGUUCUCCCUGACUCCUUGAGAGUCCUGAAGGAACGUUGAAGACGACGACGUUGAUAGGCCGGGUGUGUAAGCGCAGCGAUGCGUUGAGCUAACCGGUACUAAUGAACCGUGAGGCUUAACCUU